GAGCAGCUCGAGCAGGGUGUCCCUGGUGAUAACGUCGGCUUCAACGUCAAGAAUGUCUCGGUUAAGGACAUUCGCCGUGGUAACGUCGCCUCCGACUCAAAGAACGACCCCGCCAAGGAGGCCGCAUCGUUCACCGCCCAGGUCAUCAUCCUCAACCACCCUGGUCAGAUCGGUGCAGGCUACGCACCCGUCCUGGACUGCCACACCGCUCACAUCGCCUGCAAGUUCGCCGAGCUCGUCGAGAAGAUCGAUCGCCGAACGGGUAAGUCAAUCGAGGACAAGCCCAAGUUCGUCAAGUCUGGCGAUGCCUGCAUUGCGAAGCUCGUGCCCAGCAAACCCAUGUGCGUGGAAUCGUACAACGAGU
rnacentral:misc_RNA from 1 species